GUGUCAGCAGCCGCGGUAAUACGUAGGAGGCGAGCGUUGUCCGGAUUUACUGGGCGUAAAGGGCGCGCAGGCGGCCUUGCAAGUAGCGUGUGAAAUCCACCUGCUCAACGGGUGGGGUGCAUGGUAGACUGCAGGGCUAGAGGACGGUAGAGGGGGGUGGAAUUGCUGGUGUAGCGGUGAAAUGCGUAGAGAUCAGCAGGAACACCCGUGGCGAAGGCGGCCCCCUGGGCCGUACCUGACGCUGAGGCGCGAAGGCUAGGGGAGCGAACGGGAUUAGAAACCCGAGUAGUCC
rnacentral:rRNA from 1 species